GCGGACGUAGCUCAGCUGGUAGAGCGCGACCUUGCCAAGGUCGAUGUCGAGAGUUCGAGUCUCUUCGUCCGCU
rnacentral:tRNA from 1 species